GACGUAGGGCGCGAGCGUUGUCCGGAUUUAUUGGGCGUAAAGAGCUCGUAGGCGGCUCGUUGCGUCGGCUGUGAAAACCCGCGGCUCAACCGUGGGCUUGCAGCUGAUACGGGCGGGCUGGAGUUCGGUAGGGGAGACUGGAAUUCCUGGUGUAGCGGUGAAAUGCGCAGAUAUCAGGAGGAACACCGGUGGCGAAGGCGGGUCUCUGGGCCGACACUGACGCUGAGGAGCGAAAGCGUGGGGAGCGAACAGG
rnacentral:rRNA from 1 species